AUACUUACCUGGCAGGGCAGACACCUUGAUCAUGAAGUAGGUUCACCUAGGGAGUGGCUUGGCUACUGCACUCCGGCCGUAAUGACCGUUACAAAUUCUCCAAAUGUGGCAAUCUCCACUGCAUCAUUUGUGGUAGUCAGGGAAUAAAACUAGUUUAGAGAUUUCAGG